rnacentral:rRNA from 1 species
GUAGGUGGCAAGCGUUGUCCGGAAUUAUUGGGCGUAAAGCGCGCGCAGGCGGUUCUUUAAGUCUGAUGUGAAAGCCCACGGCUCAACCGUGGAGGGUCAUUGGAAACUGGAGAACUUGAGUACAGAAGAGGAAAGCGGAAUUCCACGUGUAGCGGUGAAAUGCGUAGAGAUGUGGAGGAACACCAGUGGCGAAGGCGGCUUUCUGGUCUGUAACUGACGCUGAGGCGCGAAAGCGUGGGGAGCAAACAGGGAUUAGAUACCCUGGUAGUCCACGCCGUAAACGAUGAGUGCUAAGUGUUAGGGGGUUUUCCGCCCCCUUAGUGCUGCAGCUAACGCAUUAAGCACUCCGCCUGGGGAUACGGCCGCAAGGCUG